GUUAGCAGCUAGGAAGUGAACACUGGGUGACCCGGAAGCGCUGCAGCGUGGAGGCACACAGAAAGAACACCGAGGUCUUUUAGCUUUAUAUUAAGCUUCUCCUACGAGGGAAACUCCAGUCCGAAUACAAGGCAUGGCAGAGCCUCGAUUCAACAAUGCGUACUUCUGGCCUCCACCACCGAGUAUGCCUGCUCAGCUGGAUAACCUGGUACUAAUCGACAAGAUCAAAGAGCAGCUGAUGGCAGAAAAGAUCAGACCUGCGCAUUUGCCACCCACCACUGUUCCCUCUCAGCAGACGCUGCUGGUGGCCUCACCGCCCUCCGACGCUGCACAGCACAUGAUGCAAAUCCCCAAACUGCAGCAAGUGUCAAGCCUGCAGGCCCACAACUCUAGCCAACCAGACAUUGCUCUGCAUGCCCGCCCAGCCUCCAGUACUGUUCAAGAGGUGACCAUGGAUGACAAGUCAGUUGUGAAGGCUAAAGGACUUUGGGAAGACUGGCACAUGCGCCAAGCUGUGGAUCAGGCUGUAAGAGCAAACCACCGUUCAGGUCUGGUACCUACUUCUCGUGCAGACAGUCACAGCAGUUCACAGGUCAUGACAUCCACCACAACCACAUCCAGCAGUCAGAGCCGACUAGGAGCAGCAUCCUCUCUGAAUGUAAUAUCAGGCCUGGCCAGUGCUCCUGGCAUGGAGCAAGUGAAGAACGCAGGCUUGGCGGGUAUGCUGGGGCCUCAACCCAAACCCCUACGUGGACGCAAAAAGAUUAAAGCAGAGAACAACACAGGACCCCUGCUGGUAGUGCCCUACCCCAUUCUGGCAUCAGGCCCUGACCAGUCAGUCACCAUCGCCAAAGAGGGGAAAACUUACAGGUGUAAAGUUUGUCCACUUACCUUCUUAAAUAAGUCAGAGAUGCAGAUCCAUUCCAAAUCCCACACGGAGGCCAAACCACAUAAGUGUCCUCACUGUUCCAAGUCUUUUGCCAAUGCUUCGUAUCUAGCGCAGCAUCUACGGAUUCACUUAGGGAUCAAACCUUACCACUGUUCCUACUGCGAGAACUCUUUCCGCCAGCUCUCUCACCUGCAACAGCAUACCAGAUCACUUUUCGGCUGUUCUAUAGGAUUCAUACUGGGGACAGACCUUAUAAGUGUGGUCACCCUGGAUGUGAAAAAGCAUUCACACAGCUGUCCAAUUUACAGUCCCAUCAGAGGCAACACAACAAAGACAAGCCGUACAAGUGCCCGAACUGCUACCGUGCCUACACAGACUCGGCCUCUCUACAGAUCCACCUGUCAGCUCAUGCCGUGAAAAACGCUAAAGCCUACUGCUGCAGUAUGUGUGGCCGUGCAUACACAUCAGAGACCUACCUUAUGAAGCACAUGUCCAAACACACAGUGGUGGAGCAUCUGGUUAGUCACCACUCUCCACAGAGAACAGAAUCUCCCAGUAUCCCCAUACGUGUCUCUCUCAUCUGAGCUUUCCUUUGCUCUUCUCUUUACCUCCCUAUCUUAUUCUGUGUGCCAGACUGCCUUUCUGUUUAGAAAAGAAAAAAAAAAAAGAAGACAGAAAGGAAUAGACAGUACUGCGGUCCUCAGAAGGACACUGUGUCUGCCAUACUCUUUGCUUUAUUUAGCUGUUUAGUGAAAAUUAGUGUAGCGGCUCGACUGGCUGCCAUCUCAACACCCCGGUGUCUGCUGCAGAUUCGCCUCGGACACCAGUCUAACUGACAUGCAUUCCAAGAACAGAACAACAGAGCAUUUUCCAUUAGUUUGUUCUCCAUAUUAUGUGUCUGAGGGUGUAUUUCUGAGGGGAGGCAUCCAAAGAUAAGCUUUAAGCACUUUCCAUUCUUUGGGAUUCCGCUGAAAUGUUUGAAUUUUCUGACAGGACAUAAGGUCUUGUUUUGGGGCUAACAGUCUUUUAGUGUUACUGAUGUUUUGUUGGUCAGUUUCUGUCUCUUUUAAGGCACCAUCAGGUUUUACAGGGUUAUGUGUUUAGUGUGGCUAUGACAAUGCCUCCACUUUCUGCUCCUCUAUACAUCUUUAAACAUGUAUCAGAUAUUGGGAUAAAACAAAAAGUAACAUAUUAAUCAUUUCUUGCUAAAAUAUUGUGGUAUCUGUGCGUGUGUGAGAGAGAGACCUUGGCAAGCAUGAGCUGAUGUAGAGAUGUGAUUGUGUGGUCACUGUGUCAGUGUGUUCACAGAACAUCAAUGACGCACUUGACGAUCAGUUUUUAUUUGCUCGAUCACACACACACACCUUAGGUAACUAUCUUCCCCACACGUCAACUAAAUUGUUAGCAGGUGUGCACCGAGGUUAUGUGGUAAGAGUUCCUUUUAUUUUUAUACAAUCUCUUAAAGGCAUUUUUCUAUGGACGAUCUAUAGAAAAUGUACAAAGAGCAUCAGUACGAUGCUGGAUGCUCUCUAAAAUAAUCUCUUAUAUGAAUUACAUCACAGAUGUACCAUGUAUCUUUUAUUGUUGUCGUUAUUGGUGUUGUUGUGCAAUGUCAUGGAAAUCCCUUAGAUUUCCUGUCCUGUCCUUAUAUUCCAGUUCUUCACAAGUUUUGAGGAAAAGCUAUGAGUUUUAGCACUUCUUCAUGCGACAUUUCACUGUCCAUUAAAUGGGUGGAUGUAUUAACACAGUGCAGUGCGAGUCAGGGGUGUGUGCUCGAACUCUGCCAAGCCUUUUCUUCAUCCCUGUAAAAAUGAAUAAUGAGUAAUAAUGUAGAAGCACCUUGACAAAUUACUGAGCAGCUGCAACUCAUGGGUCGUUUAAAACCUUGGUCGUCAUCAGGGGUUUCAGGACAGCAGAGCAGAAGCCCGGUGCUAAACUUUCUAGUUCUGAUCAUUAAACUGUAGAAAGAGGGGGGGAAAAAGCCCAGUGAUCCAAAGAUCCACCUGUAAAAGCUAUCAAAAGUUUUGUUUGAAAAUCUCAAAAGAUCAGUUAUUGUGGCUCAAUUUUUGCCAUUUAGCUGUCAGUAGUCUUACAAUCAGAAAAAAAAAAAAAACAGUAUUGAAAGGGAGUUCCUCAAACCAUAUGAAGUAUGCAUAAGAAUGUAGUUGUAAAUUUAAAAAGUCUUCGGUUUUGCUUGAGAUACAUAAGAGCAUUUAUUCUUCCUGUACCAGCUCCCAGGAGUGUUGGUAUAAACCGAGCAAGCGUUACUGCCUACAAUGUAAAGGAUUACUUCUAUGAUUACAAUUUAAAUUCGCUGUAAGAGAGAUUAAAUUUACAUACAGCGUAUUACCUACUGAACUGGUAUGACAAGUGUAUUUCUUUAUUUUAGUUCCGAAUAUUAGCACAGUUGCCCUCAAAUAUUAAAUAAAUGAAAUAGACAUUUAGCUUUUCAGCUAAUUUUCUGCAAAUAGGGAAGUUAAUAGGGAAGUUAAAGCGCAUUCCUGCUUUGAUCGUGUAUAAAUACUGUCUGAUUAGUGUAAAGUACAGAGGUUUAGUAAUCAGUAUUAAUAAGAAUUGGUUUUUUUUUAUUUUUUAAAUAAACCCCCUAAACAUGGACCCAGACAGGUUGUUGCAAAUGAAAGUGAUUUAAAGAAAGAAAGAAAAGAAAAAAUCAAAUUGAAGUACAUAAAUUAGUUUGUGUAAUUUUUCUUUUUAAAUUAAUCCAAUAAAAUAAAAUGAGCAAAUCAUUUUGACUUUUAUGUUGUUAGUUCAGUAAAGCAGUAUCCUGACUUCUCCAAGUCUUCUCAAAGUGAUCUUCAAACACUGCAGCCGCUUCACUUCCGGGCGUUUCAGUCGUACCGUACCAGUCAUUUGUUAAGCUCCUACUUUUUCAUUUGAGAACAUUUUAAGCAACUGCCAGAAUUUUUUUUUUUCCUUAAAUCUUUGUGUUAAUAUUUCAUGUUUUUAAUAAGUUCACUAUUAUUGGUGAUCUUUUUUAUUUUUAUUUUUUUAAAUGUGUACAAAUUUUAAUUAUAACUUGUUUGCAAUGUUCCAAUAGGCCAAAAUGACACUGGUCUAAAUUUGUUUAGUUCAAUGAGACAAAUUGUCAUUAAAAAAAAAAAAAAAGACAAAGCUUACAAGUAGCCCAAAUUAUUAUUUUUAAUUUUUUUAGGUUGCAUUAAGAAAAUUUGAAAAACUCAGCAGAGGAUUAAUGGUGUCAUUUGUCUGUUACAGUUACAUUAUCUCUGUCAUUCUAAUAGAGACAACAAAAGUUAUACACUAAAUAUUUCUCAAUAUAAAGAGGCUCAAGUGUUGAUCCCAUGUCAGUGUGUCUGUGGCCUAAAAGGAAUGUUGUCAUUGUGCGUAAAACCUCAAUAGAAAGCUGUACAAUGGAACUCCAGCAUGUUUACAUAUCAGAGCCCCAGUUUUCACAUUGCUCAUAGCAGACUGGCAGAAACGUGUUUUUUUUUGUUUGUUUGUUUUUAAUGCACAUUAGUUAGUCCUGUUUUAUUUAGCUCUGAAACAACACAUCCCAACUGGGGCUUUAAUAGUCUCCAGAUUAAUUUAGCCAGUUGUCCACGUUCCGAAAUCUCUUUAUAUCAAUGAGAUGUGUACAUUUAUUAUAAAGUAUACCAUGUAUUCAUCAUUAAUAGUGCAAAUUACAAGCUUUAGCUAGUGUACCUGUUUUAUUUUUUCAUCUGUAUUUCCAGUUAUUGAUGAUUAUCUCUGUAAGUACUGAUUGUUUUUAAUAUCCAUUCUUUUUAUCAUUUAUUUGUAUCUUGAAUAUUCACCUUGAUGGUUGUAUUUCUUCCCCUCACCCCACGUUGACGUUUUCAGUAUUCAGUGUUAAGCCUUUUUAUGUUUCCGCAUGGACUUCUCUGACAGUAAUUGUUAUUAACUGUUAACAAAUAUGACAUUGUUAUAUAUGUCUGGAAAUUAUUACAUUUCAUUUGUCUUGCAUUGUGGUCUCCAAGAUUUAAUUCAAUAUGCACAGACAAUACAGCAAGAUUUACUUUAGAAAAUAUCAAUGUUAAGAACACUUUGUAUCUAUCUUGUUUAAUAAACUCAGACUGUUA